rnacentral:rRNA from 1 species
UGGGCGAAAGCCUGAUCCAGCAAUGCCGCGUGUGUGAAGAAGGCCCUAGGGUUGUAAAGCACUUUCAGUGGGGAGGAAGGGUUUAAUGUUAAUACCAUUGAACAUUGACGUUACCCACAGAAGAAGCACCGGCUAACUCUGUGCCAGCAGCCGCGGUAAUACAGAGGGUGCGAGCGUUAAUCGGAAUUACUGGGCGUAAAGCGUGUGUAGGUGGUUGGUUAAGUUAGAUGUGAAAGCCCCGGGCUCAACCUGGGAAUUGCGUUUAAAACUGGCCGGCUAGAGUACUGUAGAGGAUAGUGGAAUUUCCAGUGUAGCGGUGAAAUGCGUAGAUAUUGGAAGGAACACCAGUGGCGAAGGCGACUGUCUGGACAGAUACUGACACUGAGACACGAAAGCGUGGGGAGCAAACAGGAUUAGAUACCCUGGUAGUCCACGCCGUAAACGAUGAGAACUUGCUGUUGGGUGCAUAAAGGCACUUAGUAGCGGAGCUAACGCGUUAAGUUCUCCGCCUGGGGAGUACGGCCGCAAGGCUAAAACUCAAAGGAAUUGACGGGG